CUCCCCUGCCCAACCUAGCCUCUGGAGCCCCUCCCCGCGCCAAGGUAAUUAGCGGUUCCCCUCCUCCUCGCUCCCGGAUUCCCUUCAACGUGUGACCGCGGGUCAAAGCCUUAAUACACUUCAGGAUACUUUGGUUCAUGUUAAAGCAGGUGUAUAGAGUCAGUCGGAGAAGGCAAUGGCACCCC